UUCAGGCAGAUUAUUUGGUGCCUAAUCCAAGGGGUCCUUUGCCGCACAAGGAAAUCAUUUUUACUUAUCAACACAAGUCCGAUGUUUAUUUUGAGAGAAAUCGAAGAAUGCUUGCUGAGGGCAAGAGAUCAUUAAACAUGGAUGAGAAAGAGGUGAGCUCCUUUAGUAACAAGGAGAAAGACAGAGAGGGUGAUAGACGGCCCGCCUCCUCCCGGGAUAAAGUGAAGGAUGAGGCAAAGAUGAGUGGCAAGAAAGAUAUCGGUAAGGCCGCAGAGGAAAAGAGGAGGAGACUUGAGGAGGACAAAAGAAAGAAGGAAGAAAAGGAGCGGAAACGGAAAGAGGAGGAGAAACUGAAGGCAGAGGAGGAGCAGAGGAAGAAGGAGGAAGAGGAGAAGAGGCAGCAGGAGGAGCAGGAGAGGAAAGUUCAGGAGGAGGAGGCCAAGAGACAGCGUGAAGAGGAGGCAGCUCAACUCAAGGAGAAGGAAGAGGGUCACCAGCUCCACCAGGAGGCCUGGGAGCGCCACCAGUGCCGGAAGGAGCUGCGCAUCCGCAACCAGAACGCCCACGAGGGCCGUCCCGAGGAAACCUUCUUUAGCCGCCUUGACUCCAGCUUGAAGAAGAACACGGCCUUCGUCAAGAAGCUGCGCACGCUCACUGAGCAGCAGCGUGAAGCCCUCUCCAAUGACUUCGGCUCGCUCAACCUCAGCAAGUACAUCGGCGAGGCGGUGGGCUCAGUGGUGGAGGCCAAGCUGAAGAUCUCUGAUGUAGGCUGCGCCGUGCAUCUGUGCUCCCUCUUUCACCAGCGCUACGCUGAAUUCGCCCCAUUGCUCCUCCAGGCCUGGAAGAGGCACUUUGAGGCGCGCAAGGAGGAGAAGGCGCCCAACGUGAGCAAGCUGCGCACCGACCUGCGCUUCAUCGCAGAGCUUACCAUCGUGGGCCUGUUUACGGACAAGGAGGGCCUUUCGCUCAUCUACGAGCAGCUGAAGAGCAUCAUCGGGACAGACCGCGAGACACACACGCAUGUGUCGGUGGUCAUCAGCUUCUGUAAGCACUGCGGGGACGACAUCGCGGGCCUGGUGCCUCGCAAAGUGAAGGCUGCACGGGAGAAGUUUGGUCUGGCCUUCCCUCCCAGUGAGAUCAUCAACACGGAGAAGCAGCAGCCCUUCCAGAACCUUCUGAGGGAGUACUUCACCUCGCUCACCAAGCACCUGAAGAAGGACCACCGCGAGUUGCAGAACAUCGAGAGGCAGAACAGGCGUAUCCUCCACUCCAAAGGGGAGCUGAGUGAGGACAGACACAAGCAGUAUGAGGAGUUUGCUACAUCCUACCAGAAGCUGCUGGCUAACACCCAGUCUCUGGCUGACUUUCUGGAUGAGAACAUGCCAGAACUUCCACUGGACAAGACUGUGCAGGAAGAGCACGGCCCUGGCAUUGAUAUCUUCACCCCUGGGAAGCCCGGGGAGUAUGACCUGGAGGGGGGCAUCUGGGAGGACGAGGAUGCCAGGAACUUCUAUGAGAACAUGGUGGACCUGAAGGCCUUCGUCCCCGCCAUCCUGUUCAAAGAUAACGAGAAAGGCAAGGACAAAGAAGAGGCUGCUGGUAAAGAGGCUAAAGAUGCAGCGGCCACCACAGAGGAGUUGGAGUUGGAGCUCGAGGCUCUAGACAUCGCUGAUGACCCUCUGGAGCUGGAUGGACCUGACGAGGCAGAGAACGAGGCAGAGCUCGCCAAAAAACUAUUGGACGAGCAAGGUAAAGAUGAAGAACAAGAGGAUGAGGAGGCAAGCACCGGGUCCCACCUGAAGCUCAUCGUGGACGCCUUCAUCCAGCAGCUUCCCAACUGCGUCAACAGAGACCUCAUAGACAAGGCUGCUAUGGAUUUCUGCAUGAACAUGAACACCAAGUCAAACAGGAGGAAGCUGGUCCGGGCUCUCUUCACCGUUCCCAGACAAAGGUUGGAUCUGCUGCCCUUUUACUCCCGUCUGGUGGCCACCCUUCACCCCUGCAUGUCAGAUGUGGCCGAUGACCUGUGCUCCAUACUCAAAGGAGACUUCAGGUUCCAUAUCCGGAAGAAGGACCAGAUCAACAUCGAAACCAAAAAUAAAACUGUACGGUUUAUCGGGGAGCUGGCGAAGUUCAAACUGUUCUCUAAAACGGACACUCUGCAUUGUCUGAAGAUGCUGCUGUCAGACUUCUCCCACCACCACAUAGAGAUGGCCUGCACUCUGCUGGAGACCAGUGGACGCUUCCUCUUCCGAUCCCCCGACUCCCACCUCCGGACCAGCGUCCUUCUGGAGCAAAUGAUGCGUAAGAAGCAGGCGCAGCACCUGGAUGCUCGCUACGUGACCAUGGUGGAGAAUGCCUACUACUACUGCAACCCCCCGCCCAUGGAGAAGACUGUCAGGAAGAAGAGGCCCCCGCUGCAGGAGUACAUCUGCAAACUGCUCUACAAGGACCUCUCCAAGGUCACCACGGAGAAGGUGUUGAGGCAGAUGCGUAAACUCCCCUGGCAGGACCCAGAGUCUAAAGGCUACUUGAUCUGUUGCAUGGUCAACAUCUGGAACAUCAAGUACAACAGCAUCCAUUGUGUUGCCAACCUGCUGGCCGGCCUUGUGGCCUACCAGGAGGACGUGGGCAUCCACGUGGUGGAUGGGGUCCUGGAGGACAUCCGCCUGGGAAUGGAGGUGAACCAGCCCAAGUUCAACCAGCGUCGGAUCAGCAGUGCCAAGUUUCUGGGGGAGCUCUACAACUACCGCAUGGUGGAGUCAGCGGUCAUCUUCCGCACCCUCUUCUCCUUCAUCUCGUUCGGCGUGAACCCGGACGGCAGCCCCAGCCCCCUGGACCCCCCCGAGCACCUGUUCCGCAUCCGCAUGGUCUGCACCCUGCUUGACACCUGCGGACAGUACUUUGACCGCGGCUCCAGCAAGAGGAAGCUGGACUGCUUCCUCAUCUACUUCCAGAGGUAUAUCUGGUGGAAGAAGAGUGUGGAGGUGUGGAGUGCGGAGCACCAGUUCCCCAUCGAUAUUGACUACAUGAUCAGUGACACCCUGGAGCUUCUCCGGCCCAAGAUGAAGCUCUGCAUCUCCCUGGAAGACUCCACACGACACGUCACCGAGUUGGAGAGGGAGUUCCUCGUUAAACUGGGACUGGCCAUGGAUGGACAGAAGGACGGCCGGCCCUCCAGUGCCAUGGGGAGUGAAGGCGAGGCUCUAGACGAGGAUGACGAGGAUGACGACGAAGAGGGAGGGGCGGACACAGAGGAACAGUCUGGCAAUGAGAGCGAGAUGAAUGAGCCAGAGGAAGAAGUGAUUCUGUCAUUUUUUAUUCAUCCAUUCAUUCAUUGCAUGUCUAAGACACAAGUCUCUCAUAAUAGGUGGAUACUAGAUCUCUCACUCGUUCACUCAUCUAUCAUUCAUUCAUUUGGCCCUCACCCCUAGUUUUGUAGGGGGGAGGGGGGGGUCGCAAACUGAGGACAGAAGCCCAGUCCUAAGCAAGAUACUGUAUAAGGAAGCGGGUCAUCUUGUUGUGUUGCUAGAUUGAUGUGUUGAUUCAACUCUUAUCAUGCCCGACGUACAACAAUAGCUCUCCAGGUUUAGUGUUUUGUUUUUCUACCUUACAGAAGCUAGCACACAAUCACCCCCCCCCCCAUCUAAGAACCUGCUGUGUGUUCCAGGAAGGGUCUGAGAAUGAGGAAGAGGAGCGGGAGGAAGAGGAGGAGGAGAACACUGACUAUCUGACCGACUCCAACAAGGAGAACGAGACGGACGAGGAGAACAAUGAGGUGACCAUCCGUGGUGGCGGUCUGAAGCAUGUGGCAUGUGCUGAGGAUGAGGACUUCAUCCAGGCUCUGGACAAGAUGAUGCUGGAGAACCUGCAGCGGAGCGGGGAGGCGGUGAAGGUGCACCAGUUGGACGUGGCCAUCCCCCUGCAGCUGAAGAGCCAGCUGAAGAAAGGCCCUGGAGGACCCGUCUGCUCUGGAGAGGGAGACGGAGGCAUCUCAGACACCAUGCAGUUUGUCAUGCUCACGCGCAAGGGCAACAAACAGCAGUUUAAGAUCCUGAACGUGCCUUUAUCCUCCCACCUGGCUGCCAACCACUUCAACCAGCAGCAGGCAGAGCAGGAGGAGAGGAUGAGGAUGAAGAAGCUGACUCUGGACAUCAACGAGAGACAGGAGCAAGAAGACUACCAAGAAAUGAUGGCGUCUCUGGCCCAGCGGCCCGCUCCUGCCAACACCAACCGGGAGCGGCGCCCGCGCUACCAACACCCCAAAGGGGCACCCAACGCCGACCUCAUCUUCAAGACCGGAGGAAGACGCUAGACCAUUGCAACCUAUGGAUGGAAGGAGAUGCAGUAAUGAUGGAGAUGCUGAUUGGAGUCUGGCCGAGGGAGCAAGCAAAUGAGAGAGCAAGACAGGGCGAGCGGAUCAUCGGUCUCGCCUGAGCAGGGAGCAGUGAGCCAGCCGCCCACUGACGCAAGCGCAGACCCCCACACCUAACCCCGCCGCCGGAGGAAGAGAAGGAGAAAGGGCAUCAACGAGGGGUGGGGAAGAGGGGGGCACCCCCUUCAGCCAGCUAAGGCGUUCCAGAGAACACCCCUUCCUUUCUGUGCGUCGCCCGGGACGACACCAGCACAGCAGCACAAACACCCACCCCGCCUGAACAAAAGAACGAAUCAAAAGAUGAAUGAAAGAACGAUCGACCAGCUGUCGGCCGUAUGUACGGGCAGACAUGGACGAAGACAAACAGACGCACGGACAGCUGGGCUGCAGGACAAGGGACUACAGUCGUCUUCUCUUCGCUCCCGUGCAGGAUGAGGAUAUGGUGUACAAGGGCUCACAAGAGGAGGACAAUGGACAGAAUGCGUCAAAGCAAAGGGAACGGGUGAGGGUGUAACAUCUUUGGAGAUGAACUGUGCUUCUCUUACUGGGAACAGAUCUGUUGUUCAGUCUUUUUUUUCUCUUUAUCUAGCUAAAUCACACACUGUUCAAAGGCAGCUUGAUGGAGGAGGAGAGGGAGCACAGAUGGGGUCACCACUACUAAAUGACUCGAUAAACAAGGGAACAAGGAGGACAGGAUGAUGUACAGAAAGGUGUGGUUGCUUGUGUGAGCAAGGGUUACAGAUGUAGGAUCUUCAUUUGAGUCAGUUUGCUACAGCAGGACAAUAAUCCUGCAGCAACAGGAAAUGUGAAUUAUUAUGAUUAACAGACUUUUUGGUUGAUACAUUUUUGUAAAGUUGAAAUUAAAUUCUUCAGAAGCCUUUUUAAACCUCAUAAACUACACGUUUUAAAAUGUCCUGCAUUGCAGGAAAGUAAGUUGUCCUGCAACAAGGUGAUCAAAUUAAGAUCCUACAUCUGUACCAUAGAGAUGGUUUGCUCCUCCUAACCCUGUUGGAAGUGGAACACCUUCUCACGGUGACGACCCUGACCCCGAGGCGGUUACAAGACCAGGGUUGACUGACCAGCGUUUCAUCAUCAGAAAUAAAAUAUACGUGAUGAAUAUAAUACAUAUUCUUUAUUUUUUCAGCAUUUUUGCUUUCUAGAUGUUUCCUUUAUUUUCAUGAAAAAUCUAUACUUUUUUGGGGUGAUAUACAGUUUGUUGAUUUGGAAUUUGUCUGCUGUAUUGUAGUUUUUGACGAAUGAAUAAGAUACUUAUCUGUGCUCUUGCCUCCUGAGUCAUACUCAGUGAUGAUCAUUUCUGUUUGAUUAUUUCUGUCUGUUGAAUAUAUAGAUAGAUAAUCUGUACAGUACUGCAUGGGCUUUUCUGCACCAGCUCUGUAAGCCGAUUUCUGCCUGUGUUUCAGUAAAAGUGUCAGUUUGUGACUCACU